UGCAAUAAAAAACGCUAAAUAAUAAUCUUAAUUGUCAGUUUAUAUUUUUAUUAUUUAGACUGUGUAUUAUAUCUUACUAUACUUUAUAUUUUACUUCGUAUAUAAUUUUUCUAACUGAAAAUAAACAUUUGAUUCUUUAUUAAUUCUGAAAUAUUAAAUUGUAUUGUUUUAUUUAGUAGGUACAGAAUAACCAAGCACGAUUUUGAUCAGAACAAUAGCUAUUCGUCAGAGACUGAACAGGACCUUUCAACGCUAAAAUACUAAAAAGUGAAAUGAAUUCAGGAGUACAACAUGUAACAAAAGUCAGACUCCUUUACAAAACAAUACUACGAUUGCAUCAAGGCCUGCCUGAAGCUUUGCAAACCCUGGGAGACAACUAUGUGAAAGACGAAUUUAAACGACACAAGAAAUGCAAUCCUGUAGAAACUGCACAGUUUAUGAUGGAAUGGACUCAUUAUGCAGUCUCUUUAGCAAACCAAUUAGGAAUGAAUGAGCCCAGACCUGAACUAGACGUGGGAUCAUAUAUUGAUGAAAAAACUCUUGAACAUAUGAGAGAAGACCAAGUUGUGCAGUUAUACGAGCUAUUAAUGGCAACUAAGGGGGCUAAAGAACAAUGAGGUCAUGAGAAGAAAGAAAUCAUUGUAGAUAUCAUAGUUGUUUACUUUGAAACAUGAAUUACAGAAAACUUCUCCUCUAGCAUGGCCUUAGGGAUACUGAAGUAGACACCUCAUCUAUAUGGACCACUGGACCAGCUUUAGCCAUUUUAGCGAAUUUCCCAUAUAGGGAAUAAGCUAUUACUGUGGUACUCAUGGUAAACCUACAUUCAUUCGAACGAGUUCGCGAACUAGCAUGAUCCGACUAUGGGAACGAGGGUUUUAUGGGGCAAAAAUAGGUUUUUCCCAAAAAAACAUAAAAUUUAGCAAUUUUUUUCCAAACCAUUUUGCUGAGCUUAAAAAACAAAUAAUUUAGUAUAUUGAAGCGUUAUUGAAGCGCCUAAUGAUUACGGAGAAAAUUCCAAAAAAAUGUAAAUUUAAAAUUCCCAUGUUAUUCUUAUGGAGAACAAGUAAACUGUUGUAGUUUGCUUGUUUAUGAACAUAUUUUGAUUAAAUUUGGAAAAUGUUUUUAUUUCUUACUAACUAUUAACAUUUUACAAAAAAAAAAAAAAAAAACAGUUUUACCCUCCCUGAUGCAGCAAACCUAAGUACUUGUUAAACUAAUUCUAUUUAAAUAGGAAAUAAAAUGUUAUAUUUUUAAGUAGACAUUUUACUGUAAAUCCAAUCAGGCAAAUGGAAAUUCGCUUAGUCUGCAGGUUUGCUGCGGCAAGGGUAUUUUGUAUGAAAAAAAAACAUAUGUGAAUAUAGUGGCGUAACUAGAAAAUAUGGCUUUGAGGGGGGGGGGGUGUAUGAGCUCGGAAAAUUUGUAACAAAUAGAAUUCUAAACUUGCAUUUCCAGGCAUUCCAGAGGUGUAAUCACGUUCAAAAGAACUCCAAAAAUCAACCCGAUUGAGGCUGUCUCCUGACGGUCAGAUUCAGGAAAUAUUAUCUCUCUGGAUUAAGAAGUACCACUAUCGGUAAAUACUCAUGUGAUUCGCAACUUAUUGCAGUUUCUCCAAGUUUUAGAUUUGGGUGAAAUACCUUCCUGACGACUCUGAUAUUUCAGAAUACACAUAAUAACAUUGAUUUUUUUAGAAACUUUAAUUGCCAGCACUAGUAACUAACAUCUAAAAGCUGUCUGGCGUCUGCUUAGGACUUACAGUGCAUGCUUGCAGUGUUACCACUACCACUCUCCAAAUUUACUCCCGCUACCUGGGUGUAUUAAUUAAAUAAACCUUUUAAAAUUAGUUUAAUAUACAAAUGAACUACCUAAUAAUUUUAACGAAUUAGAUUGAUAAAACCAAAUCAAAACUAAAUCACCAGUUUCAGUUUUAAACUUCACUCAACUUGAGCAACUGUAUUUUAAAGAAGUAGGAUUGCUGUAAUUCAAAUAUUUAUUUUCAUUUAAGGGUUCUGGGGGGGGGGUUCUAUCCCCCUCAUCCCCCCCAUAGUUACGCCACUGUGUGAACAAGCCAAUCGUAGCUGCAGUCUAAAAUUAUACCUCAGGUUUUUUUGUAUCUGUGAUAGUGUAUACAUAAAUAAUGCUAUGGAUAUUAAAAUUUGUCCUUUUCGUUUGCCUUGGUCAAAAGUUGAUGUAUUCAACAGAAAUCAAUAGUUUAAGAACAUCAAACACUGUCAUUGGCUCAACUAGGUUCAUUUUAGCGAAUUUCCCUAUAGGGAAAGUAGCUAUUACCGUAGGUGGCACGGUAAGAACUAGACCCGGGACCGAUUUACUUUUUCAUUUUGAUGUCCCCAGAGGCCAAAAACACCAU